rnacentral:rRNA from 1 species
GGGAAUUUUGGGCAAUGGGCGAAAGCCUGACCCAGCAACGCCGCGUGAGGGAUGAAGUAUUUCGGUAUGUAAACCUCGAAAGAAUGGGAAGAAUAAAUGACGGUACCAUUUAUAAGCUCCGGCUAACUACGUGCCAGCAGCCGCGGUAAUACGUAGGGAGCAAGCGUUGUUCGGAUUUACUGGGCGUAAAGGGCGCGUAGGCGGCGCGGUAAGUCACUUGUGAAAUCUCUGAGCUUAACUCAGAACGGCCAAGUGAUACUGCUGUGCUAGAGUGCGGAAGAGGCAACCGGAAUUCUUGGUGUAGCGGUGAAAUGCGUAGAUAUCAAGAGGAACACCUGAGGCGAAGGCGGGUUGCUGGGCCGACACUGACGCUGAUGCGCGAAAGCCAGGGGA